rnacentral:rRNA from 1 species
UACAGAGGUCUCAAGCGUUGUUCGGAUUCAUUGGGCGUAAAGGGUGCGUAGGUGGCGGGGUAAGUCAGGUGUGAAAUCUCGGAGCUCAACUCCGAAACUGCACUUGAUACUGCCUUGCUCGAGUACUGGAGAGGAGAUUGGAAUUUACGGUGUAGCAGUGAAAUGGCGUAGAUAUCGUAAGGAAGACCAGUGGCGAAGGCGAAUCUCUGGACAGAUUACUGACACUGAGGCACGAAGGCCAGGGGAG